rnacentral:pre_miRNA from 1 species
AUAUAAGUCUCAUGGGGAUCUUAGUAAAGUGUAGAUUCUGUUUCAGGAGGUUUGGGAGGGUCCAGAGGAUCUACAUUUGUCAUGAGCUCCCAGGUGAUGCUGGU